rnacentral:lncRNA from 1 species
AAAAAAACCGCGCCUGACAGCAAUAGCCAUGUGUCAUAUGAACACAUCUGAUUGGGACACGCGGUACUCUGAGCUGUUGGAUGGAGAGCGUGGCGAACCUAUUUGGCACUACAUGCCCACCAAUUACAUCAUGUUCUAUUAGAUAUAUUUAAAGUUCAUGCUCAACUAUGUAAUCUUGUUAUCUUAUCAAUAAAGCAUGUCGAGUGGAUGGAUGUUUGUUAAAAAAACUCAUCACCACCAAAAUCUGGGAGUCUUUUGACUGCUACACACCAAUAUUUUCUUUUAUUGCAUCCCACAAAACUCCAGUUUGAUUAAUUGUAAUGUUGCACUUGGGAAUUAUUAUUUUUGCAUUGUGGUCGCUGAGAUGAGCCGUACCUGGUUUCUGCUGCCACAUCACUGGCCAAACAGAGGUGGAUUCAUGCCAUCCCAGCCACCACUGGUGAAGUAUCCUCACCAUCCCAAUCACUGUCAUUGGAGGAGAUGAUUUUAGGAGAAGAAGGGACCAUCGGUCAUCCUUGAACCAUCCCCACCACCACAUAUGCCCCGUGGGGUGGCGCCGCCGGGGAAACAAGAGAGGAAGAUGUGUAGUCAAGAGAGACAUGCUAGACGGGGUAGUGAGCGAGUGGUUGUGGUUCUGUGUCGUUCCGCCGAUUUAUAAGAAUCGUCACAUUUUGGAUCUAAAGGGUAUAUUCCUUUUAACAUACCUAGGAAAGUGGCCCACUCGAUGCGCGUGCUAAGAUUUAAUGAAGUGGCCCGUGGGUAUGCGGUUGUACCAAUAUAAUGUAAUCAAUGGAAUGCCAAUUAGAUGUAAAUUUUCAUAAAUUGUCUUUCUGGUCUUGGUAAAACAUGUGAUUUCUAUAAGUGGCCUAUAAGUGUUGAGUGAGGUAUAGAGUAGCUAGUAAUAAGUUCAUAAAUUUUUGAAAAUGUAAUUAUAUGUAUGAGCACACAUACCAAUCCAAACUAGUACUAUAUCUACAUGGUAAUUGUAUAUUCUUGUAUAGUUACUGCUCUUGUUUUUUAUUUGAUUAACUUAUGGCUAAGUUACUAAUUGAUGAUAGUAAGUUUGGAAUGUGAAAUACCCUACAUCUUAAGGUAUAGUGUUAAUUUUCUAAUGCCCCUCCACUUUUUCCAGUCUUUGGGACCGACAUUGGAAGUGUUAGGCCCCCUACCCCUAUUAAUAUUCAACAAAGUUAAGAAACUUUAGUACAUUUGUGAUUAGCUAUAGUUUAAAUAAUUCCUAGAGAAGACUGAAAAUAUAACAAUUGAAUAUCAAAACAAGUCUGAUUGCAUUGUACAUAUGAAUUAUAAUAAUUUACUGAUGCUCUCACUAUUCGUUUGCAUUACAUACUAAGCUUGUAGAAUCAAAUAUCACAUUAUAGUUUGCCGAUGUUUGGUAGUAACAAACUAUUUCCAAUUGUUGAUGCAUGUUUGCAAUAAUUCGCUAACCAAAAUUAAUAUUUAAUAGCCUAAUAUUCAAAUAGGUCUGAUUUCAUUGUACAUGUGAAAUAUAACAACGUCUCAAUGCCCUCAAUAUUGGUAGUAAUGAAUUAUUUUGACCUCAUUGCUAUCUUCAUCAUUUACCAGUACCCAUAGUCCAUCCAUUUAUGUUAAUCUUGAGAAGGGGAUGGACUACAGGUAAUGGUAAAUAAUGAAUUUUUUUCAUCCAAUAUUUAGAAUUCACUCUAAAAAUUCGGCUGCCCUUUUGUUUCUCUAAUUCGUCAUGAGUUGUGUAGUUCAAUCGCAUGUUCUUUGUUAGCUUCAUUAUAUGGAAGUGCUUCCAAAGAUAUCACCUGUUAAUGGAUGUGGUGACUAUGUUGUGUCUUGUUCCCUUUGGUCCAAAAGGAUCACUACAAAAAAAA